UCUAUCUAUCUAUGAGAACGUUCCACAGAAUGGUCUAGAAUGGGACUUGGACUUGGUGUCAUUGGUUGAUGCAGCAGAUAUUAAAAAGGACAGCGGUAAAAAAAAUAAAAUGACAAGCAGCUUUGUUUUCUGUUCAGUUACAGUGGAUUGUCAUUGUCAAUUGCCAAACAAUGGGAGUCUUGUGAAUGGCAGCCAUGCAAAAGAAUAUACCGUAUGAAUACAUGGCAUGAAUUAUACACGUCAGUGUCAGGUGAAAACCUUGUAUGUAUUUACCUCAGAUGAAGUCAGAUUUAAUUACUUUGUUUCUGUUGAAAUAUUUGUAAAAGAUAUAGACAUAUGUAAAUGGUGAGCAAUAGCAUUGUUUUAUGAA